rnacentral:tRNA from 1 species
GAGGUUUUAGUUAAGUUCAUAACGCUGGCCUGUCAGACCGGAAUGACAAGUGAAACCCUUGUAAACUUCG